UCGAGCAGGAUUUUCCCAUAGGAAUACAUUAUAAUUCCAUUAAUUCGUUCCACAGCCCAAAAACCUGCACUAAAUCCUUAAAAAAUACUGCUGGUGCUAUUACAAAUGGCAAUUACACGUAGCAAAACAAAUAAAUUAUAAAUCAAAAUUGGAAUAAUGUAAUAAAAAGAAUAAUAAUUCCUGUAAUAGUGUAACGAAUCGGGUUCUAAUAAGGCGGACGUUUUUUUGUGUACCUGAACGCACCGCGGGGCUCACGUGCCAGAAACAGACCGGUGAGCUUGAGUUUCACUUUCACUUUGAAUGUUCUCUUAACAACACCAUCAUUUGAGGCAGACAGCAGGCGUUUUGUGUUGAAUAAGUUGUAAAAGAAAUGAUGAAAACGUGGCGAAGCUGGCGAUUUCUUUGGAGACAAUAAGAAUUGUCAGCUUAAUUUAUAAAGACUGGCGAACGAUGGUCGGAGGAGGACCGUGGAGAUGUAUUGUUGAGCCAUUUCACGGAUGCCCACCCCACGCUCAUAUUUUUCUGUCAUUUGCAUCUUCAUUUCGAAGGACUUUCCCCAGGAGCUGAUCGACCGACUGUCCCACAGUGAAAUCCACAGCAUCAGCGACCUCCAGCGGCUGCUAGAAAUUGACUCCGUAGGUACGGGAAACGAUGUCAUCGAGGGGCCCAAGCAUCAUAAGCGCCACCACAACCACCAGCAUCAGCACAAGAAUUCCUCCCGUCAUCCGGGUUACUAUAGCGACCUGAAGAGCUCGCAGCUACACAGUCGCCGAAAGAGGAGUCUCGUGGAGGAGGCGGUCCCGGCGGCGUGCAAGACGCGGACGGUGAUCUACGAGAUCCCCCGGAGUCAGGUGGACCCCACCUCGGCCAACUUCCUGAUAUGGCCGCCCUGUGUAGAGGUCAAGCGCUGCACGGGCUGCUGCAACACCAACAACAUGCGCUGCCAUCCUUCGCGCAAGCACCACCGCACGGUUAAGGUGGCCAAGUUGGAGUAUGUCAAAAGAAGACCCAGGCUGAAAGAAGUCUUCGUGCGGUUAGAAGACCACCUGGAGUGCGAUUGCACGUCGCAGCAUCACAUCGUGGAGCACUCCAAUUCUGAAACAGGCCACCGUAUGGCAAAAGGUAAAAAAAGGAAAUCUAAAAAGCUAAAGGCCCUCAAGGAUUUAUUGGCGACAUAACGCAAGUCGCACCCAUUGCGCCCCCUUACCCCUCCAACCCUCCCUCUCAAUGGAACUCUGUGAAGGGAACAGUGGACGUAAGGUGAGGACGUCACCUCGGCUCAUCGUCAUAAAACUGAACUUUUUCCCCUUCGGGACUGAUGAACAGAAGAAAUAGUGAUGCCAAAGGUGCUUUUUUUUCUUAAUAAAAAAAAUGAUAAUAAGACUACCCAGUGAUGAAGAGGAGCGAACAACACAAAGGGAAUUCCGUGUUUUGGACGCUAAAGUGGCUGGAUGACAAAACGCGCGCGGGACGACAGACGGGACGUCGCCGCGUAUGUACAGAGCGGGCGCUCCUUACAAACUAUUUAUGUGGACACUCCAAAGGAUCCAUCCGGUUUUCACUCUUGUCUAUUAUUACUGACAGUGUAUCGAGUUUUGUGUACGCUUUGGAGUGGCGCCACGUGGGAAAAGCCAGUUGCAGAAAGAUGCUUUAUUUUUGUUAUGAAAUAUAUUACGCUUACUUUUCAAUGCUUAUUGAAUGUCUGUAUUUAAUCCAGUCGAUACGCGUCCGACGAAUGAUCACGUUUCGCCGACGUCAACGGCGAUAGGCGUCUGAUCAGGGACGCGGAUCGGACGUCAAUCGCCGUCGACGAGUUCGUGGGCGAGAAAUAUGCGGACGCUAUCGGUAAUGUAAACAGAGAGGAGUUAUUUUUCACUGUCGUGCUGAUAAGGAUGCCCACCCAGUCUGCUGUAACACACGUAAACACGCAAAGAGCAAAGUCCACCACCUUAAAGAGUGAAUGAAUAAGCAGAGCAUGAAUGAGCUCCUUGUUCCCGGCUUUGGAUGCAACCCCCUUUACACACGUCACAAUGGUGGAAACUCACUGUUAUUUUGCCCCUCAAAAGCAAGUGGUGGUCCAAACUAGGCAUGUGCCAGUAUGAUAUUCUGACAGUAUAAUAACCUUAGGCAAAAAUAUCACGGUUUCACGGUAUCACAGUAUCGCAAGAGAGAAAAAAACACCACAGGCUGUGUUAUGAAAAUGUUAUGAUGAACAUAAAAGUUGUAUCUAGAAUUUGGAAAAAAAUGUACUGUUCCCCGGAAAUUUGCCCCAAAAUUUUCCAUUCAUUUCUAAUGGGAAAAUUUCCCAUUCACUUCCAAUGGAAUUUACAUUGCAUUAAUGCCAUUGAGGGCCAUGCAUGUGGAAUCUAUUGAUGCUAAUGUACUUGGAUUCCAUUGACGUCUUGGUCACUCGAUGCCAUUGAUGUCCAUGGACAUCCAAAUUUUUUUCCAUUCAUUUUCAAUGGCAAAACAAAGGGAAAUGACCAGAUAUCAAUAGGAUGUGUCACCUAAGCUUCCCCGAUUCCAUUGACGCUUAUGAAGGGUGCUGCCAUGGACGUCCAAAUUGUCCAUUCAUUACUAAUGGCAUUUACUUUGUUUACCUCCAUUGACGGGCACCUUUGUCCAUUCUAUUGAUGCCGAUGUACUUGUAUUCCAUUGAUGCCUAUUUAAGUCGAUGCCAUUGACGUCCAUGGACUUACUAACUUACGGUUCCCCGUAAAUUUGCCAAAAAUUUCCCAUUCAUUUCUAAUGGGAAAAUUUCCAACUCACUUCCAAUUGAAUUUCCAAUUGAAUUUACAUUGCAUUGAUGCCAUUGACGGCCAUGCAUGCCGAAUCUAUUGAUACUAAUGUACUUGGAUUCCAUUGACGCCUAUGUAAGUCGAUGCCAUUGACGUCCAAAAUUUUUUCCAUUCAUUUUCAAUAGCAAAAAAAAAAAAAAACAAAAAAAAAAAACAAU